AUUGAACGCUGGCNNUAUGCCUUACACAUGCAAGUCGAACGGUAACGCGGGGCAACCUGGCGACGAGUGGCGAACGGGUGAGUAAUAUAUCGGAACGUGCCCAGUAGUGGGGGAUAGCCCGGCGAAAGCCGGAUUAAUACCGCAUGAGACCUGAGGGUGAAAGCGGGGGAUCGCAAGACCUCGCGCUAUUGGAGCGGCCGAUAUCAGAUUAGCUAGUUGGUGGGGUAAAGGCCCACCAAGGCAACGAUCUGUAGUUGGUCUGAGAGGACGACCAGCCACACUGGGACUGAGACACGGCCCAGACUCCUACGGGAGGCAGCAGUGGGGAAUUUUGGACAAUGGGCGCAAGCCUGAUCCAGCAGUGCCGCGUGCAGGAAGAAGGCCUUCGGGUUGUAAACUGCUUUUGUCAGGGAAGAAAUCCUCUGGGUUAAUACCUCGGGGGGAUGACGGUACCUGAAGAAUAAGCACCGGCUAACUACGUG
rnacentral:rRNA from 1 species